AUUGAACGCUGGCGGCAUGCCUUACACAUGCAAAUCGAACGGCAGCGGGGACUUCGGUCCGCCGGCGAGUGGCGAACGGGUGAGUAAUGUAUCGGAACGUACCAUUCAGUGGGGGAUAACUAUCCGAAAGGAUAGCUAAUACCGCAUAUUCUGUGAGCAGGAAAGCAGGGGAUCGCAAGACCUUGCGCUGAUUGAGCGGCCGAUAGAAGAUUAGCUAGUUGGUGAGGUAACGGCUCACCAAGGCUACGAUCUGUAGCGGGUCUGAGAGGAUGAUCCGCCACAGUGGGACUGAGACACGGCCCAGACUCCUACGGGAGGCAGCAGUGGGGAAUUUUGGACAAUGGGCGCAAGCCUGAUCCAGCCAUGCCGCGUGAGUGAAGAAGGCCUUCGGGUUGUAAAGCUCUUUCGGCCGGGAAGAAAUCGCAUCAGCUAAUACCUGGUGUGGAUGACGGUACCGGAAUAAGAAGCACUGGCUAACUACGUGCCAGCCGCCGCCGUAAAAC
rnacentral:rRNA from 1 species